CUUGCGGUUAUAUCACGUUGAAAAAAAAAACCGGUUGUCAUAUGAUCACCGAAGUUAAGAAACGUCAAGCCUGGUUAGUACUUAGAUGGGUGACUGCUAGGGAAUAACAGG